rnacentral:pre_miRNA from 1 species
CGUCAAAAAAAAAAAAUUUUCGUGCCAAUGUUUAACUGUCUAUCUUAUAUAAAAAUUUUUAAUAAUUAGUAUUUUUAUUGUUGUUAGAUGAUAAAAUAUGAUUAAUACUUUAUGCGUAACUUAUCUUUUUAUUUUUUUUUUAUAUUUUUUUAAAUAAAACGGACGGUCAAACGUUGGACACGGAAAUGAGGGUUUGUCUUCUU